CCCUUAGAUGUUCUGGGCCGCACGCGCGCUACACUGAUGCAUGCAACGAGUUCUUUCCUUGGCUCGAUAGGCCUGGGUAAUCUUUGAACGCCGGUCGUGAUGGGGAUAGAUCCUUGCAAUUUUUGAUCUUCAACGAGGAAUUCCUAGUAAAUGCGAGUCAUCAUCUCGCGUUGAUUACGUCCCUGCCCUUUGUACACACCGCCCGUCGCACCUACCGAUUGAAUGGUCCGGUGAAGCCUCGGGAUUGCGAAUGCUUCGUGCGGACGCGAGAACUUGGCUAAACCUUACCAUUUAGAGGAAGGUGAAGUCGUAACA
rnacentral:rRNA from 1 species